GAUGAACGCUGGCGGCGUGCCUAAUACAUGCAAGACGAGCGAACAGACGAGGAGCUUGCUCCUCUGACGUUAGCGGCGGACGGGUGAGUAACACGUGGAUAACCUACCUAUAAGACUGGGAUAACUUCGGGAAACCGGAGCUAAUACCGGAUAAUAUAUUGAACCGCAUGGUUCAAUAGUGAAAGACGGUUUUGCUGUCACUUAUAGAUGGAUCCGCGCCGCAUUAGCUAGUUGGUAAGGUAACGGCUUACCAAGGCAACGAUGCGUAGCCGACCUGAGAGGGUGAUCGGCCACACUGGAACUGAGACACGGUCCAGACUCCUACGGGAGGCAGCAGUAGGGAAUCUUCCGUAAUGGGCGAAAGCCUGACGGAGCAACGCCGCGUGAGUGAUGAAGGUCUUCGGAUCGUAAAACUCUGUUAUUAGGGAAGAACAAAUGUGUAAGUAACUAUGCACGUCUUGACGGUACCUAAUCAGAAAGCCACGGCUAACUACGUG
rnacentral:rRNA from 1 species